GGGGGCGACAGGCUUCGACAGGGGCUUGUAUAGAUCUUUGGAUGCACGUCGGGCGUUCUUUUGGUAGCCCGUUAAAAAUGCUGAAAGGAAAACAAACGCUAACUCUAAUCAAGAAUUAGCUCUCGCUGCCUAACGUAAGUUAGCUACAGUGAUGUCCGCUGGCAAGUUCGCUUGAAGCGCGUCAAACGGGCAUAAAACAGUUCAAGCUAGUUCACGCGCACCACCUGCGUGCGUGAGCGAAAUGUUAGUCGGGUUAGUCUGUUGUGAGGUCUUGUCGAUUCACACACUCAUAACAGGCGAAACUUGAGUGAAACGACUAAACGUGUAGAGUUCACUGGUCGCAACCUUUGGAUGCGGGUUCGAUUCCCGCCGCCUCCACCA
rnacentral:tmRNA from 1 species